GCUGCUGGUGGUGUAACUGUAUAGGUAAAGCUAACCUUAAAAUUUUAUUUUUAUGAACUUUAAAAUGUUGCCAUUGAAAUUUAAUGUCUUUUAGCUUAGGUGUACUGAUUACUUAUUGCUCCACAACAAUUUGUACGGGUUUAGAGAGUAGAUAAAUGCAGUUUAGUUUAAUGGUAGGACUGUUCCAUCGAUUAAACUUCGUUUUAUUCUGUGCAGCUUUGAAUACCUGGCUGGAUGGUAAUGGUUACCCUUAAUUCUCAUGUUGUUUGCAAGGUCUUAAGAUCCAAUUGAAGUUCACAAGGCAAGUCAACAUGUGGCUGGAUGGUUGUUUGCUUAAUGUCUUGUCUUGGAAGUGUGCCGUGCUGAACAUCUAUUUUUAUGCUAAGCCCUCUGUGAGCCACGUGUCUCUUUGGUGCUAGCAUUCCGUUAGCUUGCAUGGUGGAGUUGUUGUACACGGCGCAUUGCACUGUUAAUUACUUGUUUGGUAUAUGGUUCUCAUGGUGGGUACAUAAAUUACUUUCCAAGUUUUUUUAAACAUUCAAGGUCUUGUUGAAUGUGAUAAAUGAAGUAUUAAUUCAUCUGUACUUUUUCUUACACAGCUUCUAAUCUGUGUGGUGAUUUGUCUUCAGCUGGUAAUGGUGGUGGGUUUCAAGUUCAGGAUUUCUUGUAUUUCAAUUUCUUUCUAUACUUCUAUUUUUAGUGCAGAAGUAUUUUGGACAUCUCAUUGACCGAGAUUCUGCGAACUGACCAUGUUUGUUGGCUUCUAGGCAGGUGCGUGACUGUUACAGUGUAAUUGUUUAAGAGGCAUAUGUGGGGUUCUGUGGGGAGAAUGCUUGUAUUAAUCUUUUCCCUUCCUUUGCUUUUUGUAGCUGAAUGUUAAUCAGGCUCGUUUGUUGGUUUUGGUGAGAUUGCUGUGCAAUUAAGUCUGGGUGCAUGUUUAGUUUAGUUGGUGCCGAUUACUAUUUUCCUGCUUUUUGCAUUUGGUUAGGUGCGGAGAUGAUUAGAAGGCAGAGUGAUUGCUACUGUUGCUUUCUAAAUUGUAGAAAAUAGAGUACAGGUUGGGGUUUACUUUACGUUGAAGUAACAAUGUCGACGUGACGUGACGAAGUUCCUUCAAAUAAGCACAUUGUUUUGAAUAUCGACGUGGCGUAACGUAAUAAAGCACGUGUCAAUGGAAUCGCUACGCUACGCAGUUGGCUUAAUCAGAGAGAAGCUAUUUCAGACAAUGAGCAAGGCACUUGAAAGUUACCAGAUUAACUAGCUGAGCAAGCACAGGGAAGUGAUCUGGUGUUUAAAAACGCAGACACAGAUAUAUCCGGAUAUUCCUUACUCCUUUGAGAACAAUUGCCGCUUCCUAAUUUUGUAUAUGUCCCGCCCUUUGUUACCAGUCGUAACAUAUGCAUAUUAAAGUAGUAAAUCGUGUUUACUUUUCUUUUCGAGCUUGAACUGCAGAGUUGUGCAGUGGUAAAACGUAACCAACCUCCCUGCAAAUGCAUGUGGUUGUGUAAGAGUGUCCUGCCUUUACUGCGUAGGAAAUCAUAUGCAAAAAUGGUUUGGUUUCCUAUAAAAGUAUCGAAGUAGGCUUUUUAAAUUUUCACAUGUUUGUUGAGUAUGAGGUAAGGUACGAAUCUAUUUUUGAUACACAGAUACGGAUAUACGAUAGGGGAACGGGUUUUACUCUAAUUUUUUUGACAAACUUUUACCCUGUCCAUCAGCCCUCUGUUAUCUGUUAUACAAUGAUAUCAGCCCAUGUGUAUCCAGCAUGUGUACGUAUCUACCUGCCACUAUAUAAAUGGGUGUGUACUAAAACUUUUAAAUUGUAUUUCGGUGUUCUUUUGCAACAGACAUUUUGGACGGCU